CGAAGACGAUUACUACAGACUCCACUUUUACAGAGCUUGAGCAGCAAUAGACAAGUGGAAGUAAAGAAUGAAGGGAUAAUUCAAGGUGCAAAAUCAAGGAAAAAAUGAUAUUUGGAUCCAUAGGUGCCAAGAGAAAAGAAACUUGGUGUUCUUCCUGUAAACUUGGAGGACCAUGGUGUCUUCUCUGAGAUUCUUCUCAUCUUGCUGUUCAAGGGGCAGCCUGAAACAUCAACGCAAAGCGUUCGUGCCUCAGAGGAACACAAUCUUGGAUCAGUGCGGAGCCUGCAUGGAUGAGUCACACGUGUUCAAAUAUUUCAGCUGACAGAAGAGGAGCCACGAGGACCUAGAUACUAAGUACAAUAAAGGCCAAAGUCUCCAGAAUUACCAACAAUAUGCUUUAUGGUAACUUGAAAAUAUUCAGAAAAAUAUGAAAAUCCGAAGAUCCACACCAGA
rnacentral:lncRNA from 1 species